rnacentral:rRNA from 1 species
GACAGAGGGUGCGAACGUUGUUCGGAAUUACUGGGCGUAAAGCGCAUGUAGGCGGCAGCGCAAGUCGGGCGUGGAAUCCCACGGCUCAACCGUGGAAGUGCACUCGAAACUGCGCAGCUAGAGUCCUGGAGAGGAAGGUGGAAUGCUUGGUGUAGAGGUGAAAUUCGUAGAUAUCAAGCGGAACACCGGUGGCGAAGGCGGCCUUCUGGACAGUGACUGACGC